AGCUUCAGUGUUUCUAGUGACUUUGCUGCUGCAGACUCUAACCAGGAAAAUACUGAAAACCUCUUGAUAGCCUUCAUGACAUGAUGUGAUGUGGCUUGUUCUUCAGGUGGCACCAUGUCUUGAAUGCAGACAUCUGCUGCCAGUGACUACACCCACUUGCAUUGGAUGGGAGUCACCAAUAGCUCCACAGGUGCAGCCCCAAACCAACAUCUGCAUAAAGGUGUGUGAGGUCACAGAACCCCACGGAACCCUCCAGCAGAGGCACCGGGAGACGACAGCUGCCCCACGGAACACAAGCUACCGGUGGAGGAGGCAAGAGCAGCUCCUCUGGUGGUUCCCGUCUUGGUGUCUCGGAGCCGGUGCCGCCUGUGGACACAGGAGCGUGGAAGGAGGUGGCCGUGACGCCCUGUUCCAUGGCCCACGUUGAGCUGUGACCCCUCGCAUGCUCCACCUCCGGACCAAAGGCACUGAGGAAGAGCAGCCCGUGAGGGACCUCCCCGAGCCGGCUGGGCAGAGGCUGGUCCCGCCACAGCGACUCCCGGAGCACCCCUGGGUGCCCAGUGGCCAUGGGCACGAUGCUGCCGCCAUCCCAAAGCCGUGGCGGUCGCUCUGGAUUUGCCCAUUGUGACGGGGCCCCCACGGUGAGCGUGGGCUCUUUAAGGAGGGAGAGCCCUGCAGUAACCGGUGCA